UACGUAGGGCGCGAGCGUUGUCCGGAAUUAUUGGGCGUAAAGAGCUCGUAGGCGGCCGGUUGCGUCUGCUGUGAAAUCCCGGGGCUUAACCCCGGGCGUGCAGUGGAUACGGGCCGGCUGGAGGCAGGCAGGGGAGAAUGGAAUUCCCGGUGUAGCGGUGAAAUGCGCAGAUAUCAGGAGGAACACCGAUGGCGAAGGCAGGUCUCUGGGCAUUAACUGACGCUGAGGAGCGAAAGCAUGGGGAGCGAACAGG
rnacentral:rRNA from 1 species